rnacentral:rRNA from 1 species
GACGAACGCUGGCGGCGCGCCUAACACAUGCAAGUCGAACGAGCGAGAGAGAGCUUGCUUUCUCGAGCGAGUGGCGAACGGGUGAGUAACGCGUGAGGAACCUGCCUCAAAGAGGGGGACAACAGCUGGAAACGGCUGCUAAUACCGCAUGACGCAUGACCGGGGCAUCCCGGACAUGCCAAAGAUUUAUCGCUGAAAGAUGGCCUCGCGUCUGAUUAGAUAGUUGGCGGGGUAACGGCCCACCAAGUCGACGAUCAGUAGCCGGACUGAGAGGUUGACCGGCCACAUUGGGACUGAGAUACGGCCCAG